AACGAACGCUGGCGGCAUGCCUAACACAUGCAAGUCGAACGAGACCUUCGGGUCUAGUGGCGCACGGGUGCGUAACGCGUGGGAACCUACCCUUAGGUUCGGAAUAACUCCCCGAAAGGGGUGCUAAUACCGGAUAAUGUCUUCGGACCAAAGAUUUAUCGCCUUUGGAUGGGCCCGCGUUGGAUUAGCUAGUUGGUAGGGUAAAAGCCUACCAAGGCGACGAUCCAUAGCUGGUCUGAGAGGAUGAUCAGCCACACUGGGACUGAGACACGGCCCAGACUCCUACGGGAAGCAGCAGUGGGGAAUAUUGGACAAUGGGCGAAAGCCUGAUCCAGCAAUGCCGCGUGAGUGAUGAAGGCCUUAGGGUUGUAAAGCUCUUUUACCCGGGAUGAUAAUGACAGUACCGGGAGAAUAAGCUCCGGCUAACUCCGUG
rnacentral:rRNA from 1 species